rnacentral:rRNA from 1 species
GACGAACGCUGGCGGCGUGCCUAAUACAUGCAAGUAGAACGCUGAAGGAGGAGCUUGCUCUUCUGGAUGAGUUGCGAACGGGUGAGUAACGCGUAGGUAACCUGCCUGGUAGCGGGGGAUAACUAUUGGAAACGAUAGCUAAUACCGCAUAAGAGUAGAUGUUGCAUGACAUUUACUUAAAAGGUGCAAUUGCAUCACUACCAGAUGGACCUGCGUUGUAUUAGCUAGUUGGUGGGGUAACGGCUUACCAAGGCGACGAUACAUAGCCGACCUGAGAGGGUGAUCGGCCACACUGGGACUGAGACACGGCCCAGACUCCUACGGGAGGCAGCAGUAGGGAAUCUUCGGCAAUGGACGGAAGUCUGACCGAGCAACGCCGCGUGAGUGAAGAAGGUUUUCGGAUCGUAAAGCUCUGUUGUAAGAGAAGAACGAGUGUGAGAGUGGAAAGUCCACACUGUGACGGUAUCUUACCAGAAAGGGACGGCUAACUACGUG